rnacentral:lncRNA from 1 species
AAACGGCUGGGGCCUCACUCACGGCAUAUGGAACUAACCACGCCCCUAACUAAGAAGGCACACCUUAGUUGCAGUUAGCACACAAUUAAAGCAACUCUCCAAGUUUUACCUUAAAGUUCAAAAUUGCUAGGAGUUGAAACUACUAGAAAUAUAUUUACAUGCAAGAGUCAAAGAAACUUUGAACUAUUUAUGGCCUUUAAUAAUUAAGUAAGGUAUACUCCUGUGAUCAAGACUUGGAGCAUAUUUGUUUCUCUCUGCCUGGUUCCUCUAGAAAUUGGAAACUAUCAGAACAGAGACCAACUCCGUUUCCCGAUCCCUUUGCAAUCUGCAUUGAACCAUGAGUCAAGUUCUUGAUAAAGGAGUGAAAAUGGAUGACAUUUAAGGCACAUCUGAAGAUGGGGAAACCACAGCACAGAAUAAGGCUGGGCCCUUGAAUCAAUAAAUGAAGGAGAACUACUCAAGAGAACAAAACCACCAGCAAUAUCCACCUGUAUUUGUCUUUUCAUAAUGUGUGACACAUGUGCUCAUGGAUUAUUGUCCGAAGCAAGACAUGUGACCAAGCCUAACAUCAACUGGGUGAAGAGCUAUAUGUUCCUUUCUCAAGAGGCACUACAAGUGACAUGCCACUGGGCAGAUGGAGUCUCGCUCUGUCACCCAGGCUAGAGUGCAGUACCGCAAUCUCGGCUCGCUGCAAGCUCUGACUCCCAGGUUCACACCAUUCUCCUGCCUCAGCCUCCCAAGUAGCUGGCACUACAGGCGCCCACCACCAUGCCUGGCUAAUUUUUUAUAUUUUUAGUAGAGAAGGGGUUUCGCCGUGUUAGCCAGAAUGGUCUUGAUCUCCUGACCUCAUGAUCUGCCCACCUCGGCCUCCCAAAGUGCUGGGAUUACAGGCGUGAGCCACCGCGACUGGCCUAACAUAUUUUUAAAACCUGCAGAAUGUUUGUAUUACUUUUGUCAUAGUACAUAACAUUUAAAUGGAUUUCUUGUUUGUGUAUGUGUGUAUAUUCAUUCACAACACUGAUAGUUUUUCUGAAUAUUUCCUUUGGAUUUUAUUCUUUUCUCAUUCAACUAAAUAAGAACCUGCACCAUCUUUUUCUAGUGUAAAAAUUACAAUAUCUGAAGUGAAACUACUAGAAUAAAU